rnacentral:tRNA from 1 species
GAGGGUAUAGCUCAGUGGUCGAGCACAUGCUUAACAUGCACAAGGUCCUGGGUUCAAUCCCCAGUACCUCCA